rnacentral:misc_RNA from 1 species
AUUGACCCGUAUCUUGGCAUGGCAAACCUGGAUGCUUGUGAUCGAGUCUUCUCUUUCACAUGCGACUGGUUCUUUUUCAGCCAUGGCGUUGUCACCUUCUGUUUGCCCCAUUUUUGCAGUUCUGAGCUCAGUUUCCAACUAGUCCAACUGGAUGUCCCAGGACUCAAAGAGUUCUGAACCUAAAUGAUGAAAUAUCUCUGCAUGCUCACAUAUAUCAUGAAAAAAUGUCCAAAAUAGUCCCUUAUUGAGGCAGUGAUGAU